rnacentral:rRNA from 1 species
UACGUAGGUGGCAAGCGUUAUCCGGAUUUACUGGGUGUAAAGGGCGUGUAGGCGGGACUGCAAGUCAGAUGUGAGAGCCACGGGCUCAACCUGUGGCCUGCAUUUGAAACUGUAGUUCUUGAGUACUGGAGAGGCAGACGGAAUUCCUAGUGUAGCGGUGAAAUGCGUAGAUAUUAGGAGGAACACCAGUGGCGAAGGCGGUCUGCUGGACAGCAACUGACGCUGAGGCGCGAAAGCGUGGGGAGCAAACAGG